rnacentral:rRNA from 1 species
AGAUUGAACGCUGGCGGCAUGCUUUACACAUGCAAGUCGAGCGGCAGCGCGGGGGCAACCCUGGCGGCGAGCGGCGAACGGGUGAGUAAUGCAUCGGAACGUGUCCCGUGGUGGGGGAUAACCCGGCGAAAGCCGGGCUAAUACCGCAUAUGCUCUGAGGAGGAAAGGGGGGGAUCCGCAAGGACCUCACGCCAUGGGAGCGGCCGAUGUCCGAUUAGCUUGUUGGUGGGGUAAUGGCUUACCAAGGCGACGAUCGGUAGCUGGUCUGAGAGGAUGAUCAGCCACACUGGGACUGAGACACGGCCCAGACUCCUACGGGAGCAGCAGUGGGGAAUUUGGACAAGUGGGGGCAA